rnacentral:rRNA from 1 species
UACGUAGGGGGCAAGCGUUGUCCGGAUUUAUUGGGCGUAAAGAGCGUGUAGGCGGCCAGAUAGGUCCGUUGUGAAAACUGGAGGCUUAACCUCCAGCGGUCGAUGGAAACCAUUUGGCUAGAGUCCGGAAGAGGAGAGUGGAAUUCCUGGUGUAGCGGUGAAAUGCGCAGAUAUCAGGAAGAACACCCGUGGCGAAAGCGGCUCUCUGGAACGGUACUGACGCUGAGACGCGAAAGCGUGGGGAGCGAACAGG